GGAUGUGAGGGGGAUCUGGCUCCAUUAUCUGUCAUGCCAUUGAUCACCAAAGGUUGAUUGGCUGAUCUGGCUGUCUAGGCGGGUGUUCCCCUCCUCCCUCACCAUUUCCCUGUUAUCCCUCUUGAAGCUAUGUGCUCAGUUGACAAGGACACCUUUCCACAAUGGAGGAGGACUGCUUCCUUGGUCAAGGAUCUAUAAGUAGCUGUGCUUCCCUGCUAGAAGCAUCAAACAAGCUCUCAAAGCCGGAUAUGUUUGAUGGCAUUUGAAAGGUGUGU
rnacentral:sRNA from 1 species